rnacentral:lncRNA from 1 species
AUUUGCAGAAUUUGCAGCAACUGAAUUUUUCUUUUUUUUCAUUUCAUUUUUUUUCCAUUUUUUUAAACAGUACGAAUUUGAAGAUUAAAGCAAGAACUAGUCAAUAUAUAUAUACAUCAAGCAUGGCCAAAAUAAAACAUUAAGCAUGGCCAAAAAUCAUAUCUUCCAAUGAAACAUACCCCUUGAUCGAGGUCGUACCCGAAUCAAAUAAAUAUUAAAAUGUAGUAACUAGGAAGUGAUCCUAGGUCGUUUCCCAACGAGCAAUGAUACACCAAAUGUUCAUAACAGAUAGUAGGAAAUAGU